rnacentral:rRNA from 1 species
CCAUGAAGCUGGAUUCGCUGUAAUCGCGCAUCAGCCACGGCGCGGUGAAUACGUUCCCGGGCCUUGUACACACCGCCCGUCAAGCCAUGGAAGCCGGGAGUGCCUGAAGUGCGUGAGCGCAAGCAGCGCCCUAAGGUAAAACCGGUGACUGGGGCUAAGUCGUAACAAGGUAUC